rnacentral:lncRNA from 1 species
UAUAUACAGGGUGUUACGGUACAGAGUCAAUGUGGAGGCUAUAUACAGGGGGUACCGGUACAGAGUCAAUGUGGAGGCUAUAUACAGGGGGGUACCGGUACAGAGUCAAUGUGGAGGCUAUAUACAGGGGGUACCGGUACAGAGUCAAUGUGGAGGCUAUAUACAGGGGGUACCGGUACAGAGUCAAUGUGGAGGCUAUAUACAGGGGGUACCGUUACAGAGUCAAUGUGGAGGCUAUAUACAGGGGGUACCGGUACAGAGUCAAUGUGGAGGCUAUAUACAGGGGGUACCGGUACAGAGUCAAUGUGGAGGCUAUAUACAGGGGGUACCGGUACAGAGUCAAUAUGGAGGCUAUAUACAGGGGGUACCGGUACAGAGUCAAUGUGGAGGCUAUAAACAGGGGGUACCGGUACAGAGUCAAUGUGGAGGCUUUAUACAGGGGGUACCGGUACAGAGUCAAUGUGGAGGCUAUAUACAGGGGGUACCGGUACAGAGUCAAUGUGGAGGCUAUAUACAGGGGGUACCGGUACAGAGUCAAUGUG